AUGACCCCUUUCAGAAUAGAUCUCCUGUGUAAUUUAUCUUAGGUUCCAUCUGGUUACGAAAGAAAUGAAGGGAAGGGAAGGAGUGGAAAUUUUGUAAUCGUUACCUCAAAUGAUGGUGUAACUAACUCCAAAACAUUUCAAAUUUGUUUUAGGUAAGUUAUACAAUCAUAAUUACAAAACCUUCCUUUU